AUUGAACGCUGGCGGCAUGCUUCACACAUGCAAGUCGAACGGUAACAGGUUAAGCUGACGAGUGGCGAACGGGUGAGUAAUGCAUCGGAACGUGCCCGAUCGUGGGGGAUAACGCAGCGAAAGCUGCGCUAAUACCGCAUACGAUCUGAGGAUGAAAGCGGGGGACCGUAAGGCCUCGCGCGAUCGGAGCGGCCGAUGUCAGAUUAGGUAGUUGGUGGGGUAAAGGCUCAUCAAGCCAACGAUCUGUAGCUGGUCUGAGAGGACGACCAGCCACACUGGGACUGAGACACGGCCCAGACUCCUACGGGAGGCAGCAGUGGGGAAUUUUGGACAAUGGGCGAAAGCCUGACCCAGCAAUGCCGCGUGCAGGAAGAAGGCCUUCGGGUUGUAAACUGCUUUUGUACGGAGCGAAAAGGCUCUCUCUAAUACAGGGGGCUCAUGACGGUACCGUAAGAAUAAGCACCGGCUAACUACGUGCCAGCCGCCGCGGUAA
rnacentral:rRNA from 1 species